rnacentral:piRNA from 1 species
UUUACUUGUCGACUUAAAGUGAGAUGGUUUC